rnacentral:rRNA from 1 species
AUACGUAGGGUGCGAGCGUUAAUCGGAAUUAUUGGGCGUAAAGCGAGUGUAGACGGUUAUUUAAGCCAGAUGUGAAAUACCCGAGCCUAACUUGGGAGGUGCAUAUGGAACUGGGUAGCUAGAGUGUGUCAGAGGGAGGUAGAACUCCACGUGUAGCAGUGAAAUGCGUAGAGAUGUGGAAGAAUACCGAUGGCGAAGGCAGCCUCCUGGGAUAACACUGACGUUGAGGCUCGAAAGCGUGGGGAGCAAACAGGAUUAGAUACCCUGGUAGUCCACGCCCUAAACGAUGACAAUUAGCUGUUGGCCCCAUUAAGGGGUGAGUAGCGAAGCUAACGCGUGAAAUUGUCCGCCUGGGGAGUACGGUCGCAAGAUUAAA